rnacentral:rRNA from 1 species
UACGGAGGGUGCAAGCAUUAAUCGGAUUUAUUGGGUGUAAAGGGCAUGUAGGCGGAUAAGCAAGUCAGAUGUGAAAUUUCGGAGCUCACCUUCGAAGCGGCAUUUGAUACUAUUUAUCUUGAGGGUAGACGGAGAAAACGGAAUUCCAAGUGUAGCGGUGAAAUGCGUAGAUAUUUGGAAGAACACCGGUGGCGAAAGCGGUUUUCUAGUUUAUUCCUGACGCUGAGAUGCGAGAGCAAGGGGAGCAAAC